rnacentral:sRNA from 1 species
UGUUUUACCUGCAAGUAUGUCUGUGUGACGGUGCCAGAUUCCAGGGUUCAGUUCACAACAUCCACAUCAGAUACCUCACAACCAUCUGGUUCUAGGGGAUUCAUUGCCCUCUCUGAUCUCUGCAGACACAUGCACUCAGGCAUGUACCCAUUCCCAUUGAGACACAAAUACAUACACAUAAUUGAAAAUAAAAUAAAUAGUUUUAAAAGGACUCCAUACAUGUGUUUUCUUGUUAAAAUAUAUACUCAGUUAUCUUGAGCAAAACCUGUCAAACUGAUGAGUUAUGAACUAGCCAAUCUUUAGCUUUAGUAGAAACAGCCACAUUUGAUCAGAACCAUGUGUUAGAAUAAAUGAGUGAGUGAAUGAGUAAAUAACAUGUAUUUCACAGUUAACUUGUAAACACUAACACAUAACUAUAUGAGUCUGGGCCUAAAAUAAGAAAUCUCUUAAAUACCAAAGAUAAAUCCUUUCGACUAUGUUGACAAAGUUUAAUGCUGAGCAUAUGGUCUUGGGAGGCAGAAGGAAGAGAAGUCUAUCCAACAGAGGCCGGGAGAGAGGCAGGUCAGGACUAGAAUGAGAUGCGAAUAGGCUUUAUACAGUGCAGAGCAGGGGCCAGACCCAGACAUUGGCUCCCACACAUAUCCAUGCCCACAGAAAGCGGGGUGUGUACUUCCACGGAUGCUGUCUCCUGUUUCCUAAUUGGUUACCUUCACCGUGGGAGUCUUUAGUCAGAAAGCAUUUGGCUGCCAAAACAUUAUCAAUUGAGCCAUAUGGAUAAUGUAUCGGCAACAUAAUCUGCAAUUAGUGCAGCUGUCAGUCAAGAGCUAGCCUGGGGAAUACAAUAGACCCAGAGCCCUACCUCCUCCCCUAGCUGUUCCAGCUUCCUUUCCAGGCCGACCCUGAGGAUCCAGCGCCAUCCUGCUUCCUCUAGGCUCAUGGAGUAAGCUCUUAAAUCCUCACUCAAAGCCCUCCUCAGGAGUUCUGGAAUGAUUUCGGCAUAUCAGCGGAGGAUUGUGGGAAGAGGUAAGGAAUUGGCACUGACCGUAGAAUUUCAUCGACAGGGGACAGAGUCAUCGAGACUCCCAGGGAUCCAAACUCUUGCCUGUUUUGUCUUCAGGUGUCACUGGCACUGCUGAUAACAACGCUCUUUGAUUGUGAAUUUGCCAAGAGCAUCUAAGUUCUUAGCCUUCUUACCUAACAUCUUUUCUUACCUCAUUCUGGCUAUACCAGCCUUUCUCAGCCCCUCCUCCAAAACGUCUCUCAAGGCUUCAGAAAGGGAAGCCCCAGCCUGUGUGCCCCCUCAUGAGCUCCCUUCUACAGCUAGUUCUUUUGAUUCCUUCAGCUCAGUGUCUCCUAGAAAACUCGUCUCCCAUUCACCACAUACAGCAUGCUGAGUCUGAGGAUAUCGUCAGAGUUGGUGCUAUUCAAAAAGAAAACGCCUUGCAGAUGUUACCAUAGCAAAACUGGAAGAUCCCAGAUGUGUGCAUCCAGCAUAUUAAAUUAUCUAAGAGCCAAGACUGGCUCAUAAGAUACUCUAAGGAAAGUUGGCAGAAAAAAAAAGAAUUCGGAUCAAAAAGUACCUGUGUUCAAUGAAAGUACCAGCCUCCUACAUCCUGUAACAUACGCCUGUGAGGUCAGUGCCAGAGAUCUGAGCUGCAGCUUGCCUUAGAACCCAUGGCAUCAGAGACAUGAAGAAAAGUAAAUGCUCUGGACUGGAAAAAUGUUCUUUCAUUUGGUCUAAGGACGGUGUCUUAUCCUGCAAAGAGAUAUUUAAAACUGUUGGGCAAAUGCUGACUUUGUAGUACAAUGAUUAGGAGACUCAGAGGCACAUAAAUACUGGUUCAAGUCCUAAAUGUUGGGCCUUGGGGAAGCUAUUUUAAUCUCUUAAAUGUUGAAUAACUUGACAUUUAUUUUCCUGAGACUGGAGAGAUAGCUCAAGAGAUAAAAACUCUUGCCACCAAGCCUGACAACCCGAGUUUGAUCCCCUGGACUCACAUAGUGGAAAUAGAGAACCAACUCCUAUAAGUUGUCCUCUGACCUCCACAUGCAUGCCUGUCAUGUAUGGGUCACCUACCCUAAUAAAUAAAUGUAAUUUUAAAAAAAUUAGAUAAAAUAUUUCUUUUCUUGGGUGAGGCUAUAGGUCCAAGGCAGAGGCCUUGCCUUGCUGUGCUGUGCCAUGCCUUGUCUCGUUCUAUGAGGUCCAAAGUUUGAACACAAACAUUGAAAGAAAAAAGGUCUCCUUGAAAUGGGGUGGUAAUAAUACACAUAGGGUGGCUAUGAGAUUAAAAGUACCCAGUGUGUGUUCUGAAUUAUGAUAACUACCCAACAUGGGGAAGUUCUAGCUAUUGCUGACAUCACUACUGUUAUAUAAUUCCCUGAAAGCUUGGUUUUUGCAAUGUGUUUUUCACCUCUGGGAGAUCAGACCCGGGGUAUUGAAUGUACGAGGCAAGUGCUACACCCCUCCCAAGACCAUUAAUGGAUUCUUUAAGACCUUGUAAAGAUGUCAAAGAUAUUUUACAGAUGUUUGAGUUCACUCCGAACUAAAGUUAACAGGUGACUUAGAAGGCAAAGGAACACUGAUGACCUACACAGAAACCACAUAAUCUGAUGUCAGCCUCUGUUUCUUUUUGUUGUGCAGAGUUCUGGGAUGGGGUAUCUGGGUGAACAGUUGUACUGCUGGCAAGUUUGUGUUUGGUGGAAUCACACUACCAUGGUACCAAGCGGGGUAUUGACAUCUUGGUUUGAAUGUCUGGCAUGGUAUCUUGGACAUCACUCAAAGCCUUGGACAGGGAACAUUCUGAGGAGAUUGGCCUUCACUUGUGGGUAGAAAGAAGAGGCUACAGAAAAGACACUCUGUCCAGGCUGAGUCAGCUCCACAGCCUGCCACAUCAUCUGCCCAGUUAAUAGAGUAAUCUCCCAGGACAGAUGGGACAUGACAAGGCCAUCAAGAGUCAACCUAAGUGGUAGUAUACGGGAGGUGGUUGAGUCUGUUCUAAAAAAAAUGAUACUUCACCUGAGAAGCAACAAAGCACUCCCUGUGAUUCAAAUAAAAAGCACCUUGGAUAUUUAGAGCGACCUCCCAGCCUGUCACACAGCAGUGUCCGGGGGGGGGGGGCAGUUGGAACCACUUCUCUGAAUACUGAAGCAAUACCAAGAGGACAUCUCCGAGCCAAAGAAUUGCAAGGCCAAGGGGAUGUAGCCAUUCAGAGUCUUGCCUUUUCUUCCAAAUGGUACCAUAAGUACCCAGGAUGCAGAAAUUCCCUGGCUAGUUUGGCUCAAACCCACUUCCAAGGCCUGCAUGCACCUCUCCCCAAAGGCAAGACCCUUGCCAGAGCUUAACAAGUCACCAAAUGGCAGUGAAGACUGGUAAAGUUCCCCCAAGUACUGGGCAGAGAGGGUAGAAUCAGAGGACUAGGGUUAGGAAUGAGGGUUCUUGAUACAUACCACCAAUUCAAUGCAGAACUCAAAGAACUCUAGCAUAGGUCUUUACAGACUUGAACAGUUUGUUCAUUUGACUUGUAACAAAAUAUAGACGUGUGGUCUAUGAGCCUCCAAUUACUCUCUAGCCCAGAGCUGAGCAAUGUUAACCUCUGUAGACAGCCACUAAGUAUUGUUUCAGUAAAGAUGCAAUGAAUGAAGACAUCCUCAAGAAGAAUGAAUAGAAGUUAAACUCGCACCAGAGUUCCCAAAGUCACUACAGUCAAUAAAGCAGAGCCUCCCGUCUCUCAGCUGAAUAUGCAUAACCCAAGUAACAUGUGUGUCUCACAGUGAGAUGCAGCAGGCUGCCCCGGAGAUUUUUGGAGGGCCAGCCUCGGCAAUGAAAUCUCAUUAGACCAACAGCUCAAACAGCUGCCAGUUUCCUGGGAGGAAGAGAAGGAUAUUCAAAGCUUUCCAAAGAUUCAAUCCACCAUACCUGACCCCUGCUAGGACUUCAACUCCAAUUGCACAUUUUUAUAAGGCAUUAAGGGGACAUCAUGAUGACUAACUGGUUCUGUCUUAUUUUUCCCAGGAACUAUGAAGUUUGUUGCUUAGGGCUCUAAAAAGAUAAUUUUACCAAAGGAGGGGGGAAAGAGUUAAUUCCACAAAAUGAAGUAACUGCUAAGGCAACCUCUUUUAAAGCACUUUAAAGAUUCUAAGGUCAAGAAUUAAUGGUCCGCUUACUUCAAAGGAAUCAAUUUAUUUCUUCAGUGCUCAUUUUCAGAAUCAAUCAUUUUGCGUCACCUAGAGGACUUAAGACACUGAGCUUUGAGAGCACAUUACCGUAAACUCACAUCAGUCUGUGCAUGACUUCCAGCUACCGCCAGCCUUUUCCACAUAAAUCCCUAAGAUAGGUGAUUUCUUGUUGCCUCAAUUGGAGUGUACGCAACCCUUAGAGGCAUUCUUAAUAAGGGGUGGCAAAGGAGAGGUGUGCAGGCAUUGGCUUAGCCCAGCAACCGUCUGGGGAGAACCCAGGAGGUGCUGUUGGGUGUGGCACAUAGCCCUAGCCGUAGUACUUAUCUCACCUUCCCUUCCCUCGCUGAGUUACUUCUCUAAGAUGUAAUGUACAAGGUCUGGGGCUCUGAAAGGUUGGAGAACAAUAAUUAGACACGGAUGAGUCUUUGGACAUAUGCGUUUAGUUUCUGCUCUGUAUAAAACAUCCGUUCCAUUUAAUCUAAAGGUUGGUGCUGCUAUCCCAGUGCUGAAGCUAACAGCCUGGAUGACCUUGGACAAGUCUCUCCACCUCCCCAGAGCUUCAAUUUGGAUGGAUGAUCAGUGCUAAGUGUCUGGAAAAUCCCAUGCUAAUUGACUUCACCAGCGACUCAGACAGACCAGCUGCUUGGCUUCAAAACCAACAAAGCUCCCAGAAGAAAUGAGAGCAUUUUAGCACUGGGCUUUUUGGCAGCUGCACACCCAGUGCAUAAUAGCUGCACUUUAGUCAGGGCCACUCGGGUAGAGAGAGCCCCGGCAUUCAAACCCUGAGCAUCCUAUCCCGUCAGAAGUCGUUGGGGAUUAAACCGACGUCCAAAUUACACGCUUGUCCCGGAUUGGAUUUCAGCUGAGCACCAUCCCUGGGGUGGAGGAGACAUGGCUGCAGUCCCGGGCUACCUGCUCUGUCCAACCUUUAUGAGCUGAUUGGAUCAAGGGGAAAUGAUCCCAGGAGCCCACAGAUUUUACCCUGCCUUUGCCUGGACCUAAUGGAAAAUGACCGAGGGCUACUGCUGCUUGUGGAAGACACAUCAGUCUACUGACGACAAUGUGCAACAGAAGCAGAGGCUGGCCACUGAGAUGAGAACGGAAAAACAAAAAGGCAGCAUUCUCAGAAAGGCAACCAGAUCCUGGAAUGAGGAAGGUACAAGCAGAAAUCAGCCUUUGUGAGAAGGAAGACCAGUUCCUCUGCCCAGCAGGAGGGAGGUCCCGGUGGGUGAGUUUGACUUAUUUGCCUAAAAAUGCAGAUGGGAACUCCUCAACCAGGCAAGAGUGACAGCAAAGAUGAUAUCAGGUCAUGCAGACAAUUGCAUAAGAUCCUGUUUUUGCACUACAUCCAAGUCCCUUCCUACAGUUUGUCUGUAUACCUCAGCAUCCUUGGUGAGGAUGAGAGAAGCCUUUUGAUGAGCAUCAAAACUGGACUUCGGCAAGCAAAUAUGGAGAAUCCACUGAAAUGAAAACGAAACAUGGCAGUGAAGAGAAGCAAAGGUUGUAUAAGGAGUUCUGCGGUCUCUGGACAUAGCGUGGCACUCCUGUGGACCUACAAGGCUUGCAGAAGGAACAGUAAUCUCAAUAUUACUCUUACUGCUACUCCCAAAGUCAGUCCUAACACUCCAUCUCAAUUCCACUAGACCUUUACCUUAUUAACCCGGAGCAGUUCUACAAAAUGGCAGGGGAAUGACCCAGAACGUGGGUACGGGAAGGUAGAAGAGUGAGAAGAAGCUAUGGGGGAAUGGGCCCAAGUUCUCCAGCAAUGCUUUCUGCCACUGCCAGGAACCCCACACCACACAAAGAAGCAGGGGCAUUGCUGAAAAAGAGACACAAAGAUGUGGAUCACCUUUUCCUGGAAUCAAGACGGAGGUCUGUCAGGUCCCAAAGAAACCCAGAACACGUGACCAUUCGUGUGUGUCUAUUAGCAUAUCAAAAGGAUGCUGGGCCUGAGCCUCAUUCAGUGCCCAUGGCUUCUCUCAACUCUUCUCACCCUGCCUGCUUCCCUAAACCUCUCCUGCCCAGGGGCUUCCUUUCCCUUCCCCUCCUAUAAACUCCUGCGGUUUCAGUCACAUGUUCUCUUUGUUCUUCACUGGCUGUCAGUCCAUCUCUAUUUCUCUCUGUCUCUGUCUGUCGCCCUCUGAUUUUCUUGGCCCUCUCCUCUUCCUCUCUCACAGCUCCCUCCCCACCCCACCCCCAGCCCCAUGGCCACAGGUCAGUCCAUCGGUCAUGUGUAGUCUAAUUUCUGUCUCUGCUCUGGUCUCUUCCAGAUGCCCCUGGCUGUACCCUCCUUCAUAUCUCAAUAAAAACCUUCCCCUCAAACAUUACCUUGGGCAGUUAUGUUCUCAUUUUCCUUCAUCUGGUGGCAAAAUCUGGGUAAAACAUAUAUGAGCUUCCUUUCGAGGACCUAAGCAUCCUCCUGUUCCUAGAAGACCACAAUUCAGAACUGCAGCUAUAACUAAGAGAGUGGGCAAUAAAGCCCACAACCUGAUGAGCAGAACCGGGAAAAGACCAGCCAAUCUCUUUCAAGAUGAUCCUUUUACUAUAGCCUCCUAAGUCAGGGUUUGCCACGGUUCCCAUCCUUCCCCUGUGGCUCUGGCUCCUCCUUAUGAAGCCUUCACCCUCUGACCGCUCAUAGUUACACUGUGUUUAGUACAUUCAUUAUGUAUGCAUGUGUGCAUGCGUAUGGCUGCAUUCAUGCGCUAACACACAUAGAUCAGAGGACACUUUUGGGAGUUGGUUCCCUUCCACCGUGUGAAUUCCAGGCAUUGAACUCAGGUAGUCAGCCUUGGCAGCAGAUGUCUUUAACUGCUGAGCCACCUCACUGGCCCCAUAGUUAGAGCUUGUAUCCAUCUCUUUCCUUCUCUUAAAGUGAUCCCAGUAAGUGGAUAGCUAAAGAACUCCUUAAUUUUAAAUGCAAGUUACAAAUAUUAGACCGUUCUUCUCCUGCCAAAGUGACCAGAAUUAGAGGUUUGGAAUUUUCCAAGAGGUAAUCUUAGGGGAGGGGAAUAUCUUCAGAAAGCAAUGGCUUUAACAUUACGGAAUGCUAUUUCUUCAUAAAUGGAUAUUAAUGAAUUACCACAUUCUUAUAAUGAGAAAGUGGUUAAAUGAUUUUGUAAUUCAUGGUGAAGGACCAGGAAAAAUUCAGACCCCCUAGCAAACAGAGUAGAGCCAAAAAUGUAGGUUAGCCAGUUCAGUGACUCUGUUCCAGGAACUUGACUGACCAUAGAGCUGAUGAUUACAGCAGCCGGUUCAGUAACUCUAUUUACUGGCCAUAAAGUUAGAUUACAAUCUUGA